rnacentral:rRNA from 1 species
ACAUACGACCACAGAUUCAAGACCUUAGCGCUUCCCGUUCGCUCAGCGGUACUCAAGCUUGAAAUCGGCGGACUAGUAGUCAGGUGGGUGACCACUGGCGAAUCCCCGCUGUUGUAUGUU